GGGUUGGUAAGGGCGUUCAAGGCAACAUCUGUCACUCCAUUGCUUGUCAGGAUUAUUUUAGUUCAUUUGUUGUCUGACUGGGCAGGUGUCCCCUCUCUCCCUCAGUGCUCCAUGUGCAUCCCUCUUGAAGCUUCGCACUCUGUUGAAGAGGACACUCAUCCCAGGUAGAGAGGGGGAGGGGAACUGGGCCACUUUUUCCAUCAGAUCAAGGCUACUUAACUGGAAUCCAUUGAUUUUCUAAGUUCUAUAUCUCUAUGAAAUUCCUUGCCAAAUAUAUUUUUUGGGAAGAGGACGUCCACAACUUGCAUCAGAUCUCAAGGGAUCUGUAGAUCUAAACAUUAGAUAAUGAUCUUUUUU
rnacentral:snRNA from 1 species